GAUGAACGCUGGCGGCGUGCCUAAUACAUGCAAGUCGAGCGAACAGAUGAGGAGCUUGCUCCUCUGACGUUAGCGGCGGACGGGUGAGUAACACGUGGAUAACCUACCUAUAAGACUGGGAUAACUUCGGGAAACCGGAGCUAAUACCGGAUAAUAUAUUGAACCGCAUGGUUCAAUAGUGAAAGACGGUUUUGCUGUCACUUAUAGAUGGAUCCGCGCCGCAUUAGCUAGUUGGUAAGGUAACGGCUUACCAAGGCAACGAUGCGUAGCCGACCUGAGAGGGGGAUCGGCCACACUGGAACUGAGACACGGUCCAGACUCCUACGGGAGGCAGCAGUAGGGAAUCUUCCGCAAUGGGCGAAAGCCUGACGGAGCAACGCCGCGGGAGUGAUGAAGGUCUUCGGAUCGUAAAACUCUGUUAUUAGGGAAGAACAAAUGUGUAAGUAACUAUGCACGUCUUGACGGUACCUAAGCAGAAAGCCACGGCUAACUACGU
rnacentral:rRNA from 1 species